CUCCCCAUAGUUUAAUGGAAGAACGCUAGCCUUUCAAGCUGGUAGCCUCGGGUCAGUACCGGGUGGGGAGACCA
rnacentral:tRNA from 1 species